UCUUAGAGAAAAAGGGAGGCUGUGCUGGAGGAUGGAGACAUCUCUGUUGAUGAACCUAGGCAUGAAAAGGGAAGGAUCUCAAUCCGGCAUACGAUAAAGCUGAUUUCAGCUGAACGCGAGGAAGGAGAAGAAGAUGCUGAUCUGCAUGCUGCAAAUAAAAUUAUUCAUAGCAAGCAUUACAACAUCCUGCAAAUAAAAUAGCUAGAGAAUAAGAGGAUUAGGUUUUGGCAGGAUGCGAGGUGCCAACUUAUUAAGCACGAGAGUCGUAAGAUCCCGGUUAUAGAAGAAGAGUAGGCCAAUCCCAAUCUUAGGCUGCAACAAACAAGGAAAUUCCUGUCAUCAAAUCGGCCUGAUCCCCAAAAGGAAAUCGCAAUCCAAAAUCCCUCGGAGUAUGAGUUGGGUGAUGCUCCCAGAAGGAAGAGUGAAAGCGCGCAUGAGGAGAAGGAAAGAUGGACAUAUCUUAACUCAGAAAGAGCGGUGUUUGUAUUGUUUUGAGAACCCAUCCUGGCCAAAGCAUCUGGUUGUGGCACUAGGGAACUUGACUUACCUGAUGCUUCCACAGUUUGAGCCUAUUGUUCCUGGUCACUGCGUUAUUCUUCCGUUGCAGCAUGAGUCUGUAACAAGAGCAGUUGAUAUCAGUGUUUGGGAGGAGAUUCACAACUUGAAAAGGUGUAGCCUGAAGAUGUUUGCGCUGCAGGGCCAGAAUGUGAUUUUCAUGGAGACUGCAUGUGCUUGGCCAAGCAAAGCUUGCACCAGCACUUGUGUAGAAACUAAAAGUAGAUGGCAUUUUUGUGAAAGAACCCUAGGAUAUUGUAGGAUUUUCAAAAUGGCCCAGUUGUACUUGACUAUAAAAUGGUUAUCGUUCAGAAUA